rnacentral:rRNA from 1 species
GAUGAACGCUGGCGGCGUGCUUAACAAAUGCAAGUCGAACGGAAAGGCUCCUGCUUGCAGGGGUGCUCGAGUGGCGAACGGGUGAGUAACACGUGGGUGAUCUGCCCUGCACUUCGGGAUAAGCCUGGGAAACUGGGUCUAAUACCGGAUAGGACGAUGGUUUGGAUGCCAUUGUGGAAAGUUUUUUCGGUGUGGGAUGAGCUCGCGGCCUAUCAGCUUGUUGGUGGGGUAAUGGCCUACCAAGGCGUCGACGGGUAGCCGGCCUGAGAGGGUGUACGGCCACAUUGGGACUGAGAUACGGCCCAGACUCCUACGGGAGGCAGCAGUGGGGAAUAUUGCACAAUGGGCGCAAGCCUGAUGCAGCGACGCCGCGUGGGGGAUGACGGCCUUCGGGUUGUAAACUCCUUUCGCUAGGGACGAAGCGCAAGUGACGGUACCUGGAGAAGAAGCACCGGCUAACUACGUG